ACCUGGUUGAUCCUGCCAGUAGUCAUAUGCUUGUCUCAAAGAUUAAGCCAUGCAUGUCUAAGUAUAAACGAUUUUGUACUGUGAAACUGCGAAUGGCUCAUUAAAUCAGUUAUAGUUUAUUUGAUGGUAACUUGCUACAUGGAUAACUGUGGUAAUUCUAGAGCUAAUACAUGCUGAAAAGCCCCGACUUCUGGAAGGGGUGUAUUUAUUAGAUAAAAAACCAAUGGGUGCAAGCCCUUCUUGGUGAUUCAUGAUAACUUCUCGAAUCGCAUGGCCUUGUG
rnacentral:rRNA from 1 species